GAAACCUUUCCGCAUUCGGGCCCACUGAACCUUGUUCCCCAGGUGGGCUCGCAGACCGAAACAACUGGCACCUGAACAGGGGACUGGCGUAUUCUGGCUAAAGAUUGAAGUUUCAGAUCCAUGCUUUCGUUGGACCCAAGCUUCUUCAGAGAGGAUGUUUUGCCUUGGUCACCUCCUGUCCAGUCGUGAGGAAGUGUCUGCUGCCACAGACCAAUGAAUGCAGAGAUUCUAAGCACUGAAGUCAACUGGGAGAGAAUCAUAGUGAAUAAAGAGAACAAACCUCCCCAGUCCUGGAUCUACCAAACACACCUCCCAUGAUUUACAAACAGAAGUGCUGAAAUGAAUUAUGAAGUUACAGCGGCAGAAGACCCUGGAAAUACAUUUCACCAUCACAGUGACUAGAAACGAUUACUCCAUUUAUCAAAGUACCUGCAACUUCGGGGUGACUCACAUACAGGAUGUCAUUCAAUAUCUGUACUUUAAUAAUCGACGUUUUGCACAAACACGUGAUACUGAAAAUGGCAAGACUAAAGUAAAAUCCAUCUACUUCCAAAGGUCACACUUUCUCGAAAAGCAGUACUACAAGCAAUGACUUGUGUGUGAGGCGAGCCUGGGUCUUCUCUUCUGCAUUUUCUGCUGGUCCUGUGUUGCUUCUUCCUCGCGGGAAAGGUGGCUUUCAUUCUAGAACUAUUCUAUGGACGACCCUGGAAUAUCAGCGGUAAUCCUUGUUGGUUCUUAGAUAAGCUGAAAAUUGUCCCAAAGCACAUCCAGAACAACAGUCAGAUGGGAGGACUAAAAAUCUUGUAUUAUUUGUGUGGUUUUUCUUCAGGGUCUUGCUAAAUUACUCAAUUGUCCAAGCUAGGGUCAAAUUUGUCUUAUUCCUGCAUCAGCCUUCCAGAGUGCUGUGAUUGCAGGUGUGCACCACCACGCCCAGCUCAGACAAGUACAUCUUUAAAACAGUUUCCUCACAGAGUCGCAGAGCGCAAAGGGGUGGGAGCCAAGCGCUGCCCCCGUUUUCCUCACAGACUCCUGUGUGCACACCGUCAUUUGCACUCUGCAACCUCCGUGUGAAUCACCCUUAGACAGACGCCUUCAUCCCACAGUAGUACUUUCUGGAAAAAUUUCCAGAUCCCCACCUACAGAUUAGAAAUCACUCCUCAUUUUCCUGUGUUAUUUCAGACAUUUCCUGUGUUUUAUCGCUCUCUCUGGCCGCACUCGGCACACACUGUAGUUGCUCAUGUGGUUGUGUUUAUGCAGUGUGUGUAUAUCCAGCCUCUUGUUUCUACAUGUCCUAGAGGCUAAAUGUUAGAUCCUGUUCAGCUCUGAAACAACCACAGCAAUAUGGCACUGAAGACGUUUAACAUCUGGAGUGCACCCUUUGUGUAACAUCUGUCUUCUCUGCAACCCAACAUUAUUUUUAGUAAUGACUGCCAAAGGACACAAAACAAUAAUGACAUUAAAAAAAGAAAGGGAAGGAAAAAAUGGAAA